GGAACAGACUAAAACAUUUUGCCAGGGCAAAACUGUGGACUGGUCCUGUCCCCACCGAAGACCAGCAAUGACAUGUUGGUAUAACAGACUGGAGGAGAACAGCCUCAGAAGUGAUAAGUGACAGCUAUGUGGAACACUUGCCAUGGCCCCGUCGUUGACAAGAUGUGGUUGGUGAUGGGUUGAGUCAUGUGUGUGCUUCUUGCUUAGCACUAUAAAAGGCCGAACGGAGUUUGUUUUUCAGCCGCCUCAUGAGGAACUAUUUAACUCUUGAAUAUGGUGGUCACUGUGAGACAACUGCAGACAGCUGUGUGGGCAUUUCAGUGGCUGCUUCCAAAGAAGUGGCCUGGGAAGUAUGAAGCAGUCACUCCCUAUAAAACCAGAAAGGAAGAGUGGGACAAAGGAGGAAAUCAGCUGUUGGAGCAACAGAGGAUUUAGACAGUGUAAAAAUGCCAACCGUUAGGGACAGUAGCGGAGCCACGCAGCCGGGAGUCUGCCCACCCUGUUGCUUCUUUUGCCACAGCAAUUUGAUAAAACCUAUUUCGGGAAGGAAUGUCCUCGGAACUGGAGUGUCUUCAACUCCCAAGGUUUCCUCUGAAUGAUUGGUCAACAGGUGUCAAAGAGCUGGUGGCAGAAAUAUUCCAGACCCCUCUGUCGUUCUAAUUUUACACCUGCUUAAGUGGCAGAGUUCGAAUGUAUUGCUUCUUGAACAAGGAAGCCUUUUAUUUGUUUCUGCAGGGGGAAAAAAAAAGAGAGGCAAAUAAAGUGUGGAUGAAGUAGUGUUUCCAUAGAUACACAUAUGGGUGCAUUGUGAUCACAGCCUCUUUUCUUAUUUUUAAGCUGCAUAUUGAAGUUAUGACCACACAAUUCAAACCUAUAGAGAUCUCAUAUAGAAUGGGAGCUCUCUGGAAGAAAAGAUGUUGGCAUACAUUAAUUUGAACCAUACCCAAAGCUAUCAUGACUUUCUAAAAACUUGUUACGGAUGCAAAAUUAAAUGGUAUUAAUUUUGUUUUUAUUUUAACAACAGUGCGUGCAAAUUAGGCUCCUGAGAUGGCAAUCAGUUCAGUGUCUGAAAAAAGAAAGCAAAUGUGAAACAAUCGGAUAGGUUAUUUAACUCUUUAGUGGCUGUAGACCUAAUGGAUUCAGAGGUGGUUAUCCUCACAGUAUCUCUAUCUAGUAGAUAAUCUGACACGCUCUGAAACUUGAAGAGACUAUGCCUGCCCACAGUGUAUUAUCACCACUUUAAUGCUAUGGACCAUGCUAAGUCCUUAUGCUCAGUAGUCAAUAUUCUUAAAAUACUUGCUUUGUAUAAUCAGCUCUCUUGCCAGAUGUUAGCAUCAUAGAAAUGAAGUAUAAAAGCCUGCAACACAAUGAGAAACUUGCUAUUGUAGAUUUGACCAUCCUAUUCUGAUCAUUGCCUGGUUCAACAGUCUCCAUGUUUCAGUUUGCCUUAUUUGUAGAGGGAGCCAACAAGGCCUUGAUUAAAUGUGUAAAGAAC
ensembl:antisense 4930512H18Rik RIKEN cDNA 4930512H18 gene